UCCUCCAGACUUUAGAAACCAACUCACCCUGAAGCAGCCGCAGCUUGGCGGACACGCGGCGUCCACAGGCAGGCGUCCGCCCCACCGAGGCUGUCCCUGCUGAUGCCUUCCCCUGGCUCCACACAGCGUCAGACUUAUGGCGCUUCACUUUGGAGCAGGAGUCCACUUGCUGCGGCAGCCGGACGGAAAGCGGAACCCACUUUCUUUUCCGCCGGAAGUUGGAGUACAGCGGGAGUACGUUUCCAGUCGCGCCCUAGUUGUUGGUGCACAUUACUGAAAGGCCCCGCCUCCAGUCCAGACGCGGCCGCUAUGGUAACGCGUCGGGAUUUCUGAGGUUUUGUCAACAGUGAGAGUGACUGCCAUGGCUGCUGUGUUCUGAAGAAGAGUUUCUUUUCAUUUACAAUUGUUCCAAAUUGCAAGAACCAUGAUGUUGCCAAUGCAGUUGCUGGAAGAGUAUACAAACAAGCUGAGUCUGAACAUGGCUGCACAACUAGUCUUCUUGGCAGAUGGCACGAAAGUCCUCAAACCCGAAAAUAUACCCCACGAAGCCAACAUUUAUGUUGCAACAGGACAGCCCAUUUUAGAUCCAUUCAAAAAAAAAAUUAAAGGUAAAAAAGAAAAAGAAACACCACACUCUCCC
rnacentral:lncRNA from 1 species